AUUUGACAGUAUUAAUAUCAUUUUGCAGUCUCUAACAGUGAAAUUGGUGACUUAAGGGCCAAGAUAUAUCUUGGUAUCUUGGAUAUUAACACAAAUUAGGCCAAAAAACAGCCAAGAUGUGGGCGACCUCUGGACUCACGGAGAGCCAUCCUUCAGCAACUGAGAAAAGGAAAAACCUCCUGUGGAGGAAACCUCUGGGGAACCAUGGCUUGAAGGACUGCCCUUCCCUCUGGGCAUUAAGAGGCAAUUACAGAGAAUUCAAUAUUUGCUUAUUAAUUUAUAAACUGUUUAACUUGACAGACAGACAGUGACAAACAUACAUAGAGACACAGACACACAAACAGAUAUACAACUAG